rnacentral:siRNA from 1 species
AGCCGACGGUGUAUGUGAUAUUG